rnacentral:rRNA from 1 species
UGGGGAAUAUUGCACAAUGGGGGAAACCCUGAUGCAGCAACGCCGCGUGAAGGAUGAAGGUUUUCGGAUUGUAAACUUCUUUAGUCGGGGACGAAAAAUGACGGUACCCGAAGAAUAAGCCACGGCUAACUACGUGCCAGCAGCCGCGGUAAUACGUAGGUGGCGAGCGUUGUCCGGAAUUACUGGGUGUAAAGGGCGUGUAGGCGGGGAGACAAGUCAGAUGUGAAAUACCGAAGCUUAACUUCGGGGCUGCAUCUGAAACUGUUUUUCUUGAGUGUCGGAGAGGAAAGCGGAAUUCCCAGUGUAGCGGUGAAAUGCGUAGAUAUUGGGAGGAACACCAGUGGCGAAGGCGGCUUUCUGGACGACAACUGACGCUGAGGCGCGAAAGCGUGGGGAGCAAACAGG